rnacentral:rRNA from 1 species
UACGGGGGGUGCGAGCGUUGUCCGGAAUCACUGGGCGUAAAGGGCGCGUAGGCGGCCAGCACAAGUCAGUUGUGAAAUCUCCGAGCUUAACUCGGAAAGGUCAACUGAUACUGUGCGGCUAGAGUGCGGAAGGGGCAACUGGAAUUCCCAGUGUAGCAGUGAAAUGCGUAGAUAUUGGGAAGAACACCUGAGGCGAAGGCGGGUUGCUGGGCCGACACUGACGCUGAGGCGCGAAAGCCAGGGAGCGAACGGG